rnacentral:rRNA from 1 species
CGCAUUAGCUAGUCGGCGGGGUAACGGCCCACCGAGGCGACGAUGCGUAGGGGUUCUGAGAGGAAGGUCCCCCACACUGGUACUGAGACACGGACCAGACUCCUACGGGAGGCAGCAGUGAGGAAUAUUGGUCAAUGGGCGGGAGCCUGAACCAGCCAAGUCGCGUGAGGGAAGACGGUCCUAUGGAUUGUAAACCUCUUUUGCCGGGGAGCAACGGGGUCCUUGCGAGGGCCUAAUGAGAGUACCCGGAGAAAAAGCAUCGGCUAACUCCGUGCCAGCAGCCGCGGUAAUACGGAGGAUGCGAGCGUUAUCCGGAUUUAUUGGGUUUAAAGGGUGCGUAGGCGGGCUGUUAAGUCAGCGGUCAAAUGUCGGGGCUCAACCCCGGCCUGCCGUUGAAACUGGUGGCCUCGAGUGGGCGAGAAGUAUGCGGAAUGCGUGGUGUAGCGGUGAAAUGCAUAGAUAUCACGCAGAACUCCGAUUGCGAAGGCAGCAUACCGGCGCCCGACUGACGCUGAGGCACGAAAGCGUGGGUAUCGAACAGGAUUAGAUACCCUGGUAGUCCACGCAGUAAACGAUGAAUGCUAGCUGUCCGGGGCUUCGGUCCUGG